CCUUGUCUGCACUUAAAAAUAAAUAUUGCAAUACACAAAAGAACUCUUAACACCAUCAUGGGACAUAGUCUCUGUAUAGGCAUUUGAACAUGUAUACUAUAUCAAGAAGAAUAAAUGUUGUUGGGACAAACCUUUCUGAAUCUGUUAAUGUGCUUAAAAACGAUCAUAGCUAGUGAUAAACACGAGACUUGGAUCCAGUACUUCUUAGGGUCUGUUUUGCCAUCAUGGGAAAUUACAUUCUACAGAGAAGGCUAAUUGGGUCUCUUUGAUAAUUGGAUGGUUUAGCAGAUGAUCAAGGCUUUCAAAAGCUGACAGUUUUGUAUUUUAAACUAACUACAAAUUUAUCUUCUAGAAGUUGGAAGUCCUAAGCUUGUGAAGUGCCCAGUAAUCCAGGGGGAAUAUGUCUGUGUCCCUGUGAACGAUUGUGUGUGUUAUUUCAGGAAUGUAGAAAGAAGUUCCAUAUAGACUUCUGAUAUAUUACUCCUCUAGUUUAAGCUGUAGGCAUGUAUUUACACAAAUAAAUUGAUAUUCUUUUGUCAUUUGGCAUAUUGGUGGGAAUAAGUUGUUCUCAUACUUGUUUCAGAAGGGUUGGGGAGCAUGAGCUUAGAAAACGGGAGGAGAAAGAGGCAGGGAGGCACUUCACACACUGCAGGAUGUGAGAAACAGUAGCUUUUGUUUUCUCUUUUAUUCUAAAGCAAACUGGCACUGAAUCGUAACAUACUAUUACUCAGAAUUUCUUUUCUAAUCAGAUACAAGUGCCUCAGAUUUUUCAAGGCAACAUGAAUGAUGAAAUGUGUUUUAGCAUUUAUCUUUAAAAGUAGUUUUAUUUUUCAAGGAAAAGGGUAUAGUUUGUUCUUUCUUCCAGCGGUACAUGAAGUUCUCAUUGAUCCAGGUGCCCUCACCUCCAGUGACAUCCAUCCAGACACCAGCACUGACACUGGCCGUGCUCAGAACUGCCUCAGCCCUGAAGACACAACUGACAAAUAGAAGGGUGCCACGCCCUGUUACAGCAGUGUAAGAAUGCCGGUGACUCAGUUAGAAGCAUGCUUCAAAGCUGUCCGUGUCUUUGCCAUCCAGAAGCGGAGCCUGGGAGCUUCCGAAUUUCUCCAGAAUGCGGUUUAUAUUCACCUUCGAUAGGAGGACUUGACCUGGGAUGACAGCCUCUCAGAUCUCUCAGAGGGACUGCUCAGAAGAGGUUCGGGAGGAAAUAGGAUAUAGAGGAGCUUUACAACAAAGACCGGGAAGUUGGAACAAUAAAAGAUUGCUUGUUAUCUAAAGAAAGCCAGACUGACUAUGGAUAAUCUGCAACCUUGGAAAGCAACCGAGAUGGAAUUACUGCAGUACGUUUUGGUUACUGAGACCCUCGAAUUCCCAUAUGAAUUGUAGUAGCAGCUAGUCAGUUUUUGCAGAGGAGCCUGCUGGGAUUGUAAUCGAAACCACGUUGUAUGUAUGGAUCGCUCUGGGGAACACUGCCACUCCAAGAACACUGUCUUCUGAUCCAGGAAUGUGCGUGGUGUGUCUGUCCAGGUGAUACUGCUCUGGUUGCUGCCUGUGCCCUACCCCCAGCCUUGGUUUUGGAGUUGAGUGCCCUCACCUCCAGUGGCAUCCAUCCAGACACCAGCACUGACACUGGCCGUGCUCAGAUCUGCCUCAGCCCUGAAGACACAACUGACAAA